rnacentral:rRNA from 1 species
CAUGGCUCAGAUUGAACGCUGGCGGCAGGCCUAACACAUGCAAGUCGAACGGUAACAGGAAGAAGCUUGCUUCUUUGCUGACGAGUGGCGGACGGGUGAGUAAUGUCUGGGAAACUGCCUGAUGGAGGGGGAUAACUACUGGAAACGGUAGCUAAUACCGCAUAACGUCGCAAGACCAAAGAGGGGGACCUUCGGGCCUCUUCCAUCGGAUGUGCCCAGAUGGGAUUAGCUUGUUGGUGGGGUAACGGCUCACCAAGGCGACGAUCCCUAGCUGGUCUGAGAGGAUGACCAGCCACACUGGAACUGAGACACGGUCCAGACUCCUACGGGAGGCAGCAGUGGGGAAUAUUGCACAAUGGGCGCAAGCCUGAUGCAGCCAUGCCGCGUGUAUGAAGAAGGCCUUCGGGUUGUAAAGUACUUUCAGCGGGGAGGAAGGGAGUAAAGUUAAUACCUUUGCUCAUUGACGUUACCCGCAGAAGAAGCACCGGCUAACUCCGUGCCAGCAGCCGCGGUAAUACGGAGGGUGCAAGCGUUAAUCGGAAUUACUGGGCGUAAAGCGCACCAGGCGGUUUGUUAAGUCAGAUGUGAAAUCCCCGGGCUCAACCUGGGAACUGCAUCUGAUACUGCAAGCUUGAGUCUCGUAGAGGGGGGUAGAAUUCCAGGUGUAGCGGUGAAAU